rnacentral:rRNA from 1 species
AGCAGCCGCGGUAAUUCCAGCUCCAAUAGCGUAUAUUAAAGUUGUUGCAGUUAAAAAGCUCGUAGUUGAAUUUCGGAAUCUGUCCGUUGGUCGGGCUUCAUUGUCCGUACUGGUGUGAUGGGUUCUUACCUUCUGAAUAACCAGCAUGCCAUUCAUUUGGUGCGCUGGGGAAGCAGGACUAUUACCUUGAAAAAAUUAGAGUGCUCAAAGCAGGCUAGUGCCUGAAUACAUUAGCAUGGAAUAAUAAAAUAGGACGGCAUGGUUCUAUUUUGUUGGUUUCUAGGAUCACCGUAAUGAUUAAUAGGGAUAGUUGGGGGCAUUAGUAUUCAAUUGUCAGAGGUGAAAUUCUUGGAUUUAUUGAAGACUAACUUCUGCGAAAGCAUUUGCCAAGGAUGUUUUCAUUAAUCAAGAACGAAAGUUAGGGGAUCGAAGACGAUCAGAUACCGUUGUAGUCUUAACCAUAAACUAUGCCGACUAGGGAUCGGACGAUGUUAAUUUUUUAANGAGCUCG